rnacentral:rRNA from 1 species
CCUACGGGGGGCAGCAGUCGAGAAACUUCUGCAAUACGCGCAAGCGUGACAGAGCAAGCCAGAGUGCUUUUCCGUAUUGGAAAAGCUUUUGUGAUAUGUAAAAAGUAUCACGAAUAAGGACUGGGCAAGACUGGUGCCAGCCGCCGCGGUAAUCCCAGCAGUCCAAGUCGCAAUCACUUUUAUUGGGUCUAAAACAUCCGUAGCUUGUUUUGUAAGUCUCUUGUGAAAUCUGGUCUCUUAAGGGCCAAAGUGCGAGAGAUACUGCAGAGCUAGAGACCGGGAGAGGUAAAGAGUACAAAUGGUGUACCGGUAAAAUGGGUUGAUCCUAUUUGGACUAUCAACAGCGAAGGCACUUUACCAGAACGGAUCUGACAGUGAGGGAUGAAGGCUAGGGGCGCAAAACGGAUUAGAUACCCCGGUAGUC